rnacentral:rRNA from 1 species
AGCUCCAAUAGCGUAUAUUAAAGUUGUUGCAGUUAAAAAGCUCGUAGUUGGACCUCUGGUGGGAGCGAUCGGUCCGACGCUUUGCGUGGGUACUUGUAUCGUCUCCGGCCAUCCUUGGGAAGAGCCUGUCUGGCAUUAGGUUGUCGGGCAGGGGAUUCCCAUCGUUUACUGUGAAAAAAUUAGAGUGUUCAAAGCAGGCUUAUGCCGUUGAAUAUAUUAGCAUGGAAUAAUAAGAUAGGACCUCAGGACUAUUUUGUUGGUUUGCGCCCCGAGGUAAUGAUUAAUAGGGACAGUUGGGGGUAUUCGUAUUGUGCUGUCAGAGGUGAAAUUCUUGGAUUAGCGCAAGACGAACUACUGCGAAAGCAUUUACCAAGGAUGUUUUCAUUAAUCAAGAACGAAA